GUGCCAGCCGCCGCGGUAAUACGAGGGGUGCAAGCGUUGCUCGGAAUUAUUGGGCGUAAAGGGUAGGUAGGUGGUCUCAUUUGUCUGGGGUGAAAUCCUUGAGCUUAACUCAAGAAGUGCCCCAGAAACGGUGAGACUUGAGUCCUGGAGAGGGUCGUGGAAUUCCCGGUGUAGCGGUGAAAUGCGUAGAGAUCGGGAGGAACACCAGAGGCGAAGGCGGCGACCUGGACAGGUACUGACACUCAACUACGAAAGCGUGGGGAGCAAACAGGAUUAGAUACCCUGGUAGUCCACGCUGUAAACGAUGAACACUAGGCUUAGCGGGUAUUGACCCCUGCUGAGCCGGAGCUAACGCGAUAAGUGUUCCGCCUGGGAAGUACGGUCGCAAGACUAAA
rnacentral:rRNA from 1 species